rnacentral:rRNA from 1 species
AGAUUGAACGCUGGCGGCAGGCCUAACACAUGCAAGUCGAGCGGCAGCACGGGUACCUGUACCUGGUGGCGAGCGGCGGACGGGUGAGUAAUGCCUAGGAAUCUGCCUGAUAGUGGGGGAUAACGUUCGGAAACGGACGCUAAUACCGCAUACGUCCUACGGGAGAAAGUGGGGGAUCUUCGGACCUCACGCUAUCAGAUGAGCCUAGGUCGGAUUAGCUAGUUGGUAGGGUAAAGGCCUACCAAGGCUACGAUCCGUAACUGGUCUGAGAGGAUGAUCAGUCACACUGGAACUGAGACACGGUCCAGACUCCUACGGGAGGCAGCAGUGGGAAUAUUGGACAAUGGGCGAAAGCCUGAUCCAGCCAUGCCGCGUGUGUGAAGAAGGUCUUCGGAUUGUAAAGCACUUUAAGUUGGAGAAGGCAUUAACCUAAUACGUUAGUGUUUUGACGUUACCGACAGAAUAAAGCACCGGCUAACUCUAGUGCCAGCAGCCG